GUGAUUUUGGAGGUUGCAUUGUGCCUGCCCAUACCUACCACUGUGGCCACAAAGGUUUGUCGAGCUCUGUCUAGACUCUUCCUUGGUACUCUGGCCCUGCACUGAUUCGAUAAAGAGUGACCAGGAUGAUAUUACUCAUUGAGCCCUUGCUGCAGAUGAUGAGUGAAGGUACAGAAAAGUUAGAUGACUUGCCCAGGGUCCUUUGGCUGGAAGCUAGCAGAUCUGAGACUUGAGCCAGGCCUCAUCUCUCC
rnacentral:lncRNA from 1 species